rnacentral:rRNA from 1 species
UACGGAGGAUCCGAGCGUUAUCCGGAUUUAUUGGGUUUAAAGGGUGCGUAGGCGGCCUGUUAAGUCAGGGGUGAAAGACGGUAGCUCAACUAUCGCAGUGCCCUUGAUACUGAUGGGCUUGAAUGUACUAGAGGUAGGCGGAAUGUGACAAGUAGCGGUGAAAUGCAUAGAUAUGUCACAGAACACCAAUUGCGAAGGCAGCUUACUAUGGUAUGAUCGUGACGCUGAGGCACGAAAGCGUGGGGAUCAAACAGG